rnacentral:rRNA from 1 species
UUCUAAUUUCGAUUAGAACUCUUUUAACGUGGGAAAAAGAAAAAGGAAGCAUUCAGCAAUAACAGGUCUGUGAUGCCCUUAGACAUCUUGGGCCGCACGCGCGCUACAAUGGAGUACUAGAGAGCAUUA